rnacentral:rRNA from 1 species
AGAGUUUGAUCCUGGCUCAGGAUGAACGCUAGCGGCAGGCUUAAUACAUGCAAGUCGAGGGGCAGCACAGGGUAGCAAUACCUGGGUGGCGACCGGCAAACGGGUGCGGAACACGUACAGAACCUACCUUCGAGCGGGGGAUAGCCCAGAGAAAUUUGGAUUAAUACCCCAUAGUAUAUUUGGAUGGCAUCAUUUGAAUAUUAAAGAUUUAUCACUUGAAGAUGGCUGUGCGUAUGAUUAGGUAGUUGGCGGGGUAACGGCCCACCAAGCCUACGAUCAUUAACUGGUGUGAGAGCACGACCAGUCACACGGGCACUGAGACACGGGCCCGACUCCUACGGGAGGCAGCAGUAAGGAAUAUUGGUCAAUGGACGCAAGUCUGAACCAGCCAUGCCGCGUGGAGGAUGAAGGUCCUCUGGAUUGUAAACUUCUUUUAUCUGGGACGAAAAAAGGGAAUUCUUUCUCGUCUGACGGUACCAGAUGAAUAAGCACCGGCUAACUCCGUGCCAGCAGCCGCGGUAAUACGGAGGGUGCAAGCGUUAUCCGGAUUCACUGGGUUUAAAGGGUGCGUAGGCGGGUAUGUAAGUCCGUGGUGGAAUCUCCGAGCUUAACUCGGAAACUGCCAUGGGUACUGCGUAUCUUGAAUGUUGUGGAGGUGAGCGGAAUAUGUCAUGUAGCGGUGAAAUGCUUAGAUAUGACAUAGAACACCAAUUGCGAAGGCAGCUCACUACACAAAUAUUGACGCUGAGGCACGAAAGCGUGGGGAUCAAACAGGAUUAGAUACCCUGGUAGUCG